UCACUUACCUGGACGGGGUCAAUGGGCGAUCAAGAAGGUCCAUGGCCUAGGUUGGUGACCUCCAUUGCACUCAGGAGGGGUGCCCGCCUAAGGUCGGCCCAAGUGGCCGAGCCUACGUCAUAAUUUGUGGCAGUGGGGGCUUGCGUUCGCGCAGCCCCUGC
rnacentral:snRNA from 1 species